AGAGUUUGAUCCUGGCUCAGGAUGAACGCUAGCGGCAGGCUUAACACAUGCAAGUCGAGGGGUAUAAUUAGCUUGCUAAUUAGAGACCGGCGCACGGGUGCGUAACGCGUAUGCAAUCUACCUUUUACAGCGGGAUAGCCCAGAGAAAUUUGGAUUAAUACCACAUAGUAUUAUGAAAUGGCAUCAUUUUAUAAUUAAAGAUUUAUCGGUAAAAGAUGAGCAUGCGUCCCAUUAGCUAGUUGGUAUGGUAACGGCAUACCAAGGCAACGAUGGGUAGGGGUCCUGAGAGGGAGAUCCCCCACACUGGUACUGAGACGCGGACCAGACUCCUACGGGAGGCAGCAGUGAGGAAUAUUGGACAAUGGGCGCAAGCCUGAUCCAGCCAUGCCGCGUGCAGGAUUAAGGUCUUAUGGAUUGUAAACUGCUUUUAUACAAAAAGAAACGCUACUUCGUGAAGUAUUUUGACGGUAUCGUAAGAAUAAUGAUCGGCUAACUCCGUGCCAGCAGCCGCGGUAAUACGGAGGAUCCAAGCGUUAUCCGGAAUCAUUGGGUUUAAAGGGUCCGUAUGCGGUUUGGUAAGUCGGUGGUGAAAUCCCAUCGCUCAACGGUGGAACUGCCAUUGAUACUGCUACACUUGAAUUAUUAAGAAGUAACUAAAAAUAUGUAGUGUU
rnacentral:rRNA from 1 species